AUCCUUGGCUGCUGGUUUGGAUUGCAAAGGCUUUUCCAGCUGUGAGAACAGCAAAAGGACCAGGAAAGGAUCCUGAGCUCUGAGCUAAUGGGUCACAAAUGGGGAAGGGCAAUCUUAGCACAGAGUGCAGGGAUGUGCACACCUGGGAAUUCCGGAUUUGCAUAAUAGAAGGGCUCAGCACAUUCCAGAGGGUCCCUGAAGAUGCUGCAGCCUGAGAAAAUGAGCCUGCGAGGUGCCAGGUGCAUGCUUGGAGCACUAAAUCCACAAUAAUUGUAAUAAUAGACUUCCAUAAAAGGCAGCAGUGGCAAAA